CCCAUCAAAACUUGAGCAGAGGAGCUAGAGCAGCGAGUGGAUUUGGAUUUGGUCUCCCUUUAUUAAAUUCUCUCGAGUUUUAGAGUAUCCACCUUUCUCCUCCCCAUUGGCCCAUCGCCAUCGUGUUGGCCCAGCACCCGCCAUGCUGCCGCUACAGUGCUGCUACGCUCGAGACCUGCCCGGCCCGGGGGAUCUGUUAACAGGGUGCGCGGUUGCGUGCGGGGUCACGCUACCGGCCAUGGCGCCGUUUUACUCAUUUUAGCUCCGGCGCCGUACUGUGGUGCCUACCCCUCGCAGUGGACCAAUGCUGAGUCGAAGAAAUCUUUGAUGAAGGCUCUGGGAAUGAAACGGGAAUAGUCAGCGCGGGCUCCCUUCCAGCCAGACGGAACGACGACGACGACGACAAAGCAAUAAUUUCCAGACUCGUACCGGUGAUCCACUGGUGGGGAUCGGUACAGCUCUCGGGGACAGGAAGAUAGGCUCCAUCCAUCCGUCGGGGAAGACCACAUCUCCUCCUCUAUAGCCUUCAUCAAAGGGGGUUAAAAGGCUAAGCAUUCAAACGUCUUUUAGCUGGCAAUCCACUGUGUAGAGGUCCGAGGUUUUUUUUUUCCAGAAAUUUUCCUGCAAUCAGCAACGACUAAUGGUCCACAACUCUUCCAUGAUCUCUAUCUCUUGUUGUUCCACCGUGAACUUGAACUCAAAGUCCAGUGCAAGCGCGUUGGCUGUUGCUUCCACCACAGGUGUCCAACUUGGCAGAUCAUCUCCAAUUCUAGAUUGGGGACUGCGUGUUGCUUGCUGCUGCUUCAUCGCCAAAUCACGCCGCGCAAAAGAGCAGCGGCCACCAAGUUCAGACAAGACAACACCAGAGCGUCAUGGGGAUUGUGAAGGAUGAUACCCUCGACGAGGAUCUAGAGCUGGCGAUUGGAACAGCUUCUCCACAACGGGUGUAGAAAAACUUAAAAUGGUGGGGCUGAAGGAGCACGACAGCCUCCUCGUGCGUCCUGGCACUCCACAUAAAUUUAGCAGCAUAUGCAAGCUGGGUAACUGAAGAGUUCCUUCGCCUCCAAUUACAGUAUCGAUGAAUUCCUCAAUGUGCUACUAUCAGUCUAUCCGAAGAUCAUAUGGGUUGCCCGCAUUGCUCAGAGAGAAGAUGCUGCAGAUAGUUAAAUUAAGAAGAAACAUCCAGUUGCUCAGCCUCUCAUUAGUCAUGCUCAUCGAUCUAUGAUCCAUUACCUGACGGGUAACCUGAUUUCACCAAAACAGGGGCAUGAAGCAGCAAAGAUGCAGCAAUUAAUGCAAGGGUUCCUGCACAACUGAAGAGCACAAGUCAUGCUCCCAGCAAAGUUUACAAAGAAAAUUGCAGGAGUGCAUACCUGUACCAUCAACACUUUGUAAAUAUGCCCAGAUUGUUCCAGUUGUGGUAUCAAUCCAUCCUGUAAUGAAGAUUGUUGUCCUCACUACAAACCUGGUUGCUAGCCGCUUCAUUGUGAAUACCAUACAAUUUGGAUUAGCAGCGAGAUUAAAACAGAAGGAUUUCAACUGCUUCUGGCAGGAAUUAA